rnacentral:lncRNA from 1 species
GCGCAAAUCUCGGGCGACAGGCUUUGCGCGACUUGUACCGCCCGUGUAGCCGAGUUUGGGUCAUUCUUUCAGGUUUUUUUUGUUUGUCCGCGCAUCUGAGAAGUGGGUGUAGAGCAUGGUAAAGAUGGAAGAACUCUUUGUUGUUGUUGUUGUUAUCUGAGCUGGAGCUGCAGCAAUGAUGGAUCCUUUAACCCACUGCAUCUGGCCAGGGAUCAAACCCAUGCCUCUGCAGCAACCCAAGCUGCCACAGUCAGCUUCACCUGCCACAUCACAGCGGGAACUCUAGGGUGGAAGGAUUUUUUUUCUUUUCUUUUUAGGGCUGCACCUGCAGCAUAUGUAAGUUACCAGGCCAGGGGUCUAAUCAGAGCUCAGCUGCCCGUCUACACUGAUGCCUAUGCAGCAACAUGGAUUCGCGCCUCAUCUGCAACCUAUACCACAGCUCUCACUGAGCGAGGCCAGGAAUUGAACCCACGUCCUCAUGGAUAUUAGUCAGGUUCUUAAUCUGAAGAACCACAACAGGACCUCUGUGGGGUGAGAGAAUUCUUUCUGUCCCUAUUUUAUAGGUCUUCUCCCUCUUCUGUGUGCAAAGCACCAGUAAUAAGCCACUGUCAUCACCCUGGUGACCUGGGCUUCCUUUGCCAUGCCUCCUGAAGCUGUCAGCCCUUGGACCAUGUGCAAGGAAAAUCAAAAUGGAGUGGGCAUUAGUAAGAGAGCUCUCCAAAAUGGAGCCAGGAGGCCACUGGGACAAGGACGUGAUGAUAAACCAGUCUCAGUCCGGGCUUCUCUUGGUUCGCUCCAGCCUUGGAUGGGCUUUUCCCCUCACAUCCCAAGAUGACUACCGGAAGUUUCAGCUGCCGGCUCACACCCCAGCCCCAGCAAUGCCACAUCCGAGCUGUGUCUGCAACCUACACCACAGCUCAUAACAACGCUGGAUCCUUUAACCCACUGAGUGAGGCCAGGGAUCGAACCUGCAUCCUCAUGGAUACUAGUCAGAUUCGUUUCCGCUGUGCCACAAUGGGAACUCC